rnacentral:lncRNA from 10 species
UUCUCCCUCGGCCUCCAGACCCACGCAGGUCAGGCGCCAGCAGAGACGCGGAGCCCGGUGCGGGUUCAGGCCUGGUCAACAGGUAGGAGGGCCGGACUGGGGGCCAAGCACAGAGGAGGGCAGGCCCGCCCGCGCCAGCGUCCAGGGUCCCGGGUCCCGGGACUGGAGGAGGUCGCCGGGAGCCCGCGCUUCCAGAGGAUUGAGAUUGGGUGAACGAGACCUGAAGACCCUCUCGGUCUGGACCCCGACUUUCGGUCUGCUUAGAGACCUAAGCCGCGAGCCUUUGGCCACACGGAGAAACGUACUAACAACCCUGUACUGCCGUGUCUGGAGGUUGCGGGAACGAGACUGUGUCUCCCUUUGGGAAAAGUACUGGGGACUUCUUUAUAUCCUACUUCUCCUGGACUCCAUAAGUUACAGGACCGAAGAAAACUGAGAAAUAGAGAAAAGGUGCCGCUUGCCCCUUAACUCCCGAAAAGGGUGGCUGCAGACGGAGCGGCUUGGACUUUAUCUUUACAUUGUGGGAAACCUGCCGGCAGCGGCUUAUGCUAAUUGAUUUUCCCAGUUCCCAGCCCUGGGUGUCUAGCUAUCUCCAGGCCAGUUUGCAUUUUUCUUUUUCUUUCUUUCUUUCUUUUCUUCAAGACCUGAAGCUCGAGGCCCGCUGCCCGCUGCCCGCUGCCCGUGAGUUUCCUCCGAGUUUCCAGAGGACAGACAAGCACCAUUGUGGAGGCCAAGCACCAUUGGGGAGGCAGUUAGAGUCUAGUGGCGGCGGGGGACUUUACAGUCAGACUGCUGAAAAAUCUUCAUUGCUGAGACAAAGGAAAACCCACUCCCUUGGAGGAGCAUGA